rnacentral:lncRNA from 1 species
GAGAGGGAGGAUGUUUGAGAAACAAAGAUUUGGAGAUUUAGGGAUCAAUUGAGUAGGAUCGGGUUAGUGGGUUAGGAUAGUGUGUGGUUGGGUUAGUAAAUAAGUAGAACUUUCUAGGCUUCAUGGUCUUUUCCUCCUAUUUUUGAUUUAAUUUUAAUUCAUUUUUAAAAUAAAAAGGCAAGAGGUCCAUAUGAGAUUAUUUUGACCCCUUGUGGUCCAUUACAGCAUUUGUUCCAAAAAAAAGAUUUCACCGUGAAAUAUGGUUUAAUUGUAAAUGGAAAAAGACUCACCACACCACAA